UAGUGGUGAUAGCGGAGGGGAAACACCCGUUCCCAUCCCGAACACGGAAGUUAAGCCCUCCAGCGCCGAUGGUAGUUGGGGCCAGCGCCCCUGCAAGAGUAGGUCGCUGCUAGGCU
rnacentral:rRNA from 3 species